GUCCAAGCCUGCAGUUCCUCCAGGCUGCAGCAGGUUCCAACCAGGUCCUGCCAGCUCCCAGGCCCAGCUGCAGGCAGCUUUUGGUUGCUGGGACCAGUUCCACCUGCCCACAGCCUACCCUCAGCAGUUCCUAUAGGGCACUGCCAUGCACAUGUAGAUGUGCCCACAAAGAAAUAAAAUUAUGGUCCAAAUUCAUCAGUACUUGAGUUUACAGGUGCUAUGGGGCAUUGCCUCCGCUGCGGGGCUACCAGUCCCAUGCCAGGCCCCUGCGAUGGGCACUGGUGGGCAUGGCCAGAUUGAGCAUGGCAAGAGCCAGGUGGGUGCCUGCGGGGAGGGAAGGCCACAUGCCAGUGUGCUGCCACUCCAGGUGUGGCCGAAACUGCUCCAGGAGGUCCUGGAAUGUGGCCUAGGUCAUGCAGAAUGCCUCCAGCCACUGUUCAUCAUCCCAGGUGUGCUGAAUGAUGUGCUGCUACCAGUCUUGCCCAGCCCAGCAGGCCCAGCGGUGGCAGAGCUGGAGGCCCAGAAGGGUGAUUGUGACCCCAGUGUUGGCAUCCUGGAGCCUGCUGUUGGUGUCUGUGCCAGGGUUCAGUCUGGUGGACAGGGUGGAGGUGGCAGGUGUGCAGUGGCAGCCCUAGGAUGUUGCAUGGUGAGUGGGCAGAUAGUUGCUGCAUGUGGGGGACCCAGGAGGGUCCAGAUGGCUUUGGGCCAGGUGGCAGUAGGUGCAGUGGGCCAGCAGAACCAGUGCAGUAGCCAGCAAGAGUGUGGGGUGCUGGUCACCACUGCUAGGGGCAGGGGUUGGAGCAGCCAUAGCGCAAGGAGCACAGGCGGGGAGAAGAGUGCUGCUUCUGUGCUGCGCAUGCUGAUCUUGGCCAGGGAAGUGGCUGGAUAGACAGCAAUGAGUGGGGCUGCCUUUUGAAGAGGGCUGUUGGCUGCUAGCAGUUGCAGCUGGAGCCUGGAGCUGCCCCUGGUUGCAGUAGAGAUCCACUGAAGGACCUUAGGAAGUGGAA
rnacentral:lncRNA from 1 species